rnacentral:tRNA from 1 species
GCGGGAUUAGUUCAACGGUAGAACAUUUGCUUCCCAAGCAAAAAACACGGGUUCAAUUCCCGUAUCCCGCU